GACGGGAGGGUGUCUCCCUCCUGGCCGCUAUUGGGCGCCGUGCCAGCGGUGCGGGCACCGUAAUUGCUGGGCGGUACUAUGCGCCCUUUAUAUUCAGGUGUGCAGCUGUGGAGCUUUCUGUCCUUCGCUCCCUGCUUGCUUCCGUGGUGGCUGUGGUUUGGCAUGACGGCGUUGGUGGACGCAGCCGUUCUCUGGUGUAUCCAGCUGUUGUGAUCGCCGUCAAGGCGCGCUGUCUGUAUAUCGUGGCUGAGUGCGGGGGUGAAUUCCCCGGGGUGAAACGGGGAUCUGCUGGAGUCCUGCUGGGCAUAGGAUCACAGGCUCGCGCUGGUUGUGUGUGCGAGCCGUAUUCUUGUGGCUCACACCCUCCAGUUGCCAGUUAACAACCCGGCAUAAUCUGACCGCCACCAUAACUUCAAGCCGAGCUGCUGUUUUGGUUUUCGUUAACAUUCGUCUUGUGAACCGUUCGUGUUUUUUUUUUUUUUUUUUUUUUUUUGUUUGUUUGGUUUUGUUUUGUUCGUUGCGGCUUGGAGCGGAUUUCUCAGCACGGCCGAGUGCCGCCUGCGUCCGCUCCGUGCAUAGGCUGGUUGUGUCGCUGCUGUGCCAGAACCUGUACAGCUGCAAGGGCUGCUUCAGUUGAUGAUGUUUUGUUUUUCUUUGUUAUUUGGAAAUCCAUUUAGGUAUUUACUUUGGGUAUUUUUGCUUGCUUUGUUGCAUUACUUGGUUUAAUUUUUUUUUGUUUUGUUUUCUUUGAGUUUAUUCAGCCUCAUGUAUUGAUUUAAUCCAUCAUUUAUUGUUCUUUGGUUUCGUUUUCUUUUGUCCACACCAGUUAUGGUUAGUUUGGGCACGUUUUAUUAAUCUUUGUCUCUGUCUUUUGUUUACAGGUGCUGUGGCUUACUGCAGCAGUUAUUCCCUGGUGGUGGUGUCUUUUUCACGGUCCCCCCUUUCUUUUGGGGUGCGUGCGUGUGUUUGUGUGUAUAUUAUUUGCAGUGUCACGGGUGAUUCAUUUGAGGAUUCCUCUCCCCUUUUGAUUUUCCUGCCGCAGGGUAAGCCCCAGCCCGAGUUUUUAUUCCUUGUUGCCCGUUCUUUCUUUUAGUUCAUAUAUGUUAACUGGUGUGUGACAUUAUUUCCUUUCAUAUAAUUUGUUAAUAAACAUUGUUAAAUUGGAACACGUCUCGCCCCCCUGUGUUAAUGGAACCUGUUAAGCCUUAAUUGGUUUAGUGACAGUGAAACACACCUGAGCUAGGAUUUCCUGGGUGCAAGUCCCAGGUGGCGUUGUUGGGACCAUAAUUGGUCUAAUUGGGUACAAACAUUCCUCGAAUCUCGCCACAAUUAGAAUGAACUUCUCAACCUGUAUUUCUCUGCUGUGUAUUUUAGCUUUUAAAAAAGUUAUUUUACUUGAAGGUUAAGGUAAACCCGUUCAGCUGCACUGAAGUUUAACAUUCAGCUGGUUUCAAUUAAACUGCGCUCAACAUUACCUCUCUGAAUCUCCAUAAUUUCAUUAAAUUCCUUCUCUCUUCCACUGCUCAAGUUCAAUCCAGUAUAUUAAGUGACAUUAAUAGUGAAUAAACUAACAACCAGCUAUUGUAUUUAUUUAUUAUUGCAUGUAUUUGUAGUAAAACAUGAGUUGAAACGUCCUACUUUUGGAUCUAGAACUGCACAAGCCGUUCAUUUUCAGUCACCUGAUGAGUUAAACUCCCCUUUUUAUGUGAGGUUGAAGCAGAAAGUCUGAGUUAACAAAGAAAGUUGUUUAUAAUGUGCGAUACCCGUUAUCUCUGACUGAGGCUUUAGUUUUUGAGCCGAUUUACACGUAGAAACUUUGUUCAGGAAAAUUUCUCAGUAGCUCAGAGGACAGGCUGCUUUUUACACAACCUUGUAAGAGAAUGUCUGUCAAUGCUUUCAGCAGAAUUUAUAAACACAACACUUCCUAAACAGAUAUUUUGAGGCUGUUUUUGCUAUCGGCAAAAAUCAAGUGUUUAUUUGAUGAACUUCAUUUCCUAAACCAUCCAGAAUUGGAGCUCAUAUCUUUGGCAGCUGUAAAGUUUCUGCUCCUUCAAAGUUCACAACACAAUGAAUGAAUUCCUAAAACACUCUCAAUGCUGGAGAGCGUUUGUGAUGCUGAAGCAGUGACCAGUUUUUCUGUUUCUUCUCUGGAGAUGCACAAUGAGGGACAUCUGCAGCGACUGAGAAAGAGUCUCACCACAUCCUGACAUGAGGAAAAAGACUUUAUUGAAGACUACAAUGAGAAAAACUAUCAGACAGCAGACGGCUGCAUUCAAGGUGAGCUCUGAACAUUUGAUCUGGAACAGGAAUUCAGUAACGGCAGCAUGAGCUUCAUUUCAGUCUGUAGCUGCUGAAUUCAUGGAUGAAUCAUCUGGCACUAGAGAAGAAGACCAUCAAACAUCCACGUCAGCUGAUGGAGGUCCAAGAGUCUCACCCAACAAACAACCUACAGAGUAGUGAUGUUAGGAGACGUGCUGAGGCUUCGAAGCGUGUGCCGAGUAUUGGAGAGGGCGUAUCAAGGCUUGCUUCAUUUAGGGGAGGGGCCAAAAUGAUGACGUCCGAAGCCUCGCUGCCUGGCUGAACCACGUGACCGCUUCGGAAAGUGGUUCAGAUUUUGCCUAGAGGUUUGACAGCAACACAAACCCCUCAGGCUCUGUUCAAAAUGUGGGUUUUUGAUGGAGAGUUUCGGUCAGUUGAGAGUUUGAAUAGCUUGAAUACUAGAGUUUGGAGAGUGUUUAUAUAGUCUGGAUAUAGUUUGGAGAGUUUAGAGAGUAGAAAAAUAGUUUGGAGAUUUAGGAGAGUGAGGAGAGAAGGAAGGAGCCAGCUAGGAAAAGGAGGAUUUCCCCUGUGUGGGGACAUUUCGAUUUGAUGAUUCUUAAUCAGGUAAGCUGAAUCUAACAUUAUUACAGAUGCAUUAGCUUUGGUUAUCAAGAACUGUAUUUUUCACUGUUAGGUGAGGUGUUUAUUGUGUGUGUCAAAAAAGAAAUCGUUUAAAACCAAAAACUGUUGAGAAACUGUUAUUUCUGAAUGAAAGGAAUAAAAUGUCCCCUUUCCUGUGCAUCGUUGUCCACGUUACACAGCAUAUUCAGUACGAUCUUCCUAGUUCCACACUUUCACUGUCCUCUGCCUGCUUAAGGCCAUGGCGUUUUCUUACAGUGACAGAAAAACAUUACACAACCUGCCACAUUAUAUGAUACUACCAUUUUGGGGAAAAUUUACACACACACAGAAUACAUGAAAAUAUAUUUUAUUCUACAUGUGAGAAUUUAUCUACAGAAAUUAUUUGGUCAUACAUUUUCUUGUAUUUCAUAGUUAUUCCCAACAGCCAUAACCGAUUAAAAAUUCAAUGCAUCAGAUGUGAUUCAGAUACAGCUGCCUGUGAUUAUACACCUGGCCAGUAGGUGGCUUCAUGUGUUCAUGAAGCUUCAAGAAAUUAACCGUUUCUUGAACCAAUUGGCUCAAGUGGCUCAAUGCGUCAUGAGGCUUCAUCUCACCAUCACUACUAUAGAGUGAAGACCUCAAAUCUGAUUGGAUGGCCUCCUAUUCAGCCACAUGUGUGAACAAAUGCCUCCAAGUUGAUUUGUUUUCUAAAAUAAAUCUAGUUUGAGUCCUAAUCUAUGCCUGUGUGUUUGCUUCUUUACACCGCUGUUAACAGUUUAGGCUGUUAGAUUGUUCCAGAUAAGACAAGUACAAGAUACUUAAGAGCCGUUCUACCACGAGCCUGACAGGAAGAACUCCAACAGCUACUGAAUGUUCCUGUG